rfam:Plasmodium falciparum Tanzania (2000708) unplaced genomic scaffold supercont1.467, whole genome shotgun sequence.
UGGUUAAAUUACACUCAACGAUUUAAUUUUUUUUUUUGAAUAUUUUAUCGUUAUUUAUUUUUUAACCUAAAUUAAGUUAUCAUUCAAUUUUUUAUUUUCCAAAAAUAAAAAUUGUAUUGAUAUUUCUCUUCAUAUUCCCGGUAUUUUCAACGCCCAUAAUAGGGCAGCUUCUUGUUAAGUAGUGUUGAUUUUGCCGUAACAAAACGGAGAGGAACAAAUAUAAAUGAAAUAAAAAAUAUGUAAAAAUAAAUGAAUAUUAUAUGG